CUACCGAUUGAAUGGUUCGGGUGAAAAUUUCGGACUGAGGCUCGUAGGCUUCGGCCUUGGGUCGCGGAAAGUUAUUUAAACCUCAUCAUUUAGAGGAAGGUGAAGUCGUAACAAGGUUUCCGUAGGUGAACCUGCGGAAGGAUCAUUA
rnacentral:rRNA from 1 species